GAGGAGACUUUCCAAUGGGGACUGGCAGUCCUUCAAGUGGAGAUUUUGGCCAUAGAAAGUAGGACACCCUCCAUAAGUUGCAAAUUCACCACACAUAUAUAAUGAGCAGGAAGCCUGGGUUUCAUCGGUAUUCAUCCUUGUUUUGUCUCAGAGCAGUUUUUCUUCAACCGGCUUGAGUUCUCAGAGAAAAAGAUUAUUUCGGGAUGCUUCUCCUGCUCUUUGUUCUGGAUUUCCUGCUCUUCCACCAGGCCACUGCACGACAUGUUAAGCGUGAUGAAAUCCAGAGGAAGUGUGAGGAAGCUGGAGGUUACUGCGGAGACUUAGAAUGCCCUCCAAUGGACAAAACUCUUUUCUAUUGCUACAAACGAACAGCUUGCUGUCUAAGAAACGGAAAUGUUGGACAGCAACCUUCAGAACUCCUCUUUUUCCGGACACAUGAGGAAUGUGAAGAACUGGGUGGGCUCUGCUACAUAAAUCUGAAGUGGACACCCGAAUGUUGGGGUCCUCGUUAUAUAAUGCUAGGGACUUGUUUCCCGAGGCAUGUAUGCUGCAAAAGGCCAUACUGAUGGGAGAGCAUCUCACACAAUCACCUGAAGAUGUGCCGGUGGAAUCAUCACCUCCUGCUCAGCAAGCUCACUGUUAUUACCUUCCCACCCACUAAAGAAGAGCCUAAGAGACUUUGCUCUGAAUUCCAUAAAAUUGUUUUUCUUAGCAAAUAUAACAUCCUUGUGUCAAUGAAACGGUCUCUUUCUUUGUCUGAAAGAUACAGGAGGAGGUAUGCUUACUUUUAUCCAAGGCUGUGCAGAA
rnacentral:lncRNA from 1 species